rnacentral:tRNA from 1 species
UCCCUCAUAGCUCAGUCAGAUAAAGAAUCUGCCUGCAAUGCAGGAGAUCCAGGUUCCAUUCCUGGGUUGGGAA